AGUGAACGCUGGCGGUAGGCCUAACACAUGCAAGUCGAACGGCAGCACAGGAGAGCUUGCUCUCUGGGUGGCGAGUGGCGGACGGGUGAGGAAUACAUCGGAAUCUACUUUUUCGUGGGGGAUAACGUAGGGAAACUUACGCUAAUACCGCAUACGGCCUACGGGUGAAAGCAGGGGACCUUCGGGCCUUGCGCGAUUGAAUGAGCCGAUGUCGGAGUAGCUAGUUGGCGGGGUAAAGGCCCACCAAGGCGACGAUCCGUAGCUGGUCUGACAGGAUGCUCCGCCACACUGGAACUGAGACACGGGCCAUACUCCUACGGGAGGCAGCAGUGGGGAAUAUUGGACAAUGGGCGCAAGCCUGAUCCGGCCAUACCGCGUGGGUGAAGAAGGCCUUCGGGUUGUAAAGCCCUUUUGUUGGGAAAGAAAUCCAGCUGGCUAAUACCCGGUUGGGAUGACGGUACCCAAAGAAUAAGCACCGGCUAACUUCGUGCCAGCAGCCGCGGUAA
rnacentral:rRNA from 1 species